rnacentral:lncRNA from 1 species
CAGGAUUCGUGUCUCCUAAUCACUCAGGGAUCCAGAUUGAGUGGAGUUGCUAUGAUGCUACUCUUUCAAGAUUCCCUCCAUGUACUAAGUUAGAGGAACAGAACAUAGAGAAUAAUGCAGCAGCUCUUGAGUCCGUUUGUAUGGAAGUGAUAGACACACAUUCAUCUGCUCAUAUCUUUGUAGCACGGCCAUCCUUUUCACUAGUAGGUAGGGAAAUGUGACCUUCCAUGUACAUGGAACAGCAAAAACACUCAAUACUGAUGACUCUGGGUGUUGUCCACUGCCACAGGAAGAACAGGAGAAGCAGAAAGAUGGAAUGAUGACCCCAGUGACAGGUUGCUGAAUCAGAAAAUGGGAAGGUUCCUUUGGUAUCCCACCUUUAAUAGUGGAAAUUUUGAACAGAUGAUAUUUGUGGCCUGGAUACAUUCAGUGGACUUGCCUGGGACUGUAGUUUCAAAUAAACAGAAGUCAAGUUUACAGUUAUUUCCAGAGGAGCCAAAUGGGAAAUGAGUUAAUGGCAACAUCUUCCAGGUCCACCAUUGUUAUGAAAAUGCUGGGAGGUAAGGCCCAGCUUCUGUAGCUCACUGAUGCUUCACUAGCACUAAGCCAAGCCUCAGAAGUCUCAUGUAAUAAUCAGGUCCUAGGGCCUAUUGUGG